GACGAACGCUGGCGGCGUGCUUAACACAUGCAAGUCGAACGAAGUGGCGAACGGGUGAGUAAUACGUGAGUAACCUGCCCUCCUUUUUGGGAUAAGCCUUGGAAACGGGGUCUAAUACCGAAUAAAGGGGGAUGGGCUCGCGGCCUAUCGGCUUGUUGGUGGGGUGAUGGCCUACCAAGGCGGGGACGGGUAGCCGGCCUGAGAGGGUGACCGGCCACAUUGGGCCGGCUGUACGGCCCAGACUCCUACGGUGGGCAGCAGUGGGGGGUAUUGCACAAUGGGCGAAAGCCUGAUGCAGCGACGCCGCGUGGGGGAUGAAGGCUUUCGGGUUGUAAACCGCUUUCAGCCAUGACGCGGUAGUGGCAGAAGAAGCACCGGCUAACUACGUGCCAGCAGCCGCGGUAAUAC
rnacentral:rRNA from 1 species